CCUUUGACAACUCUAGAGAUAGAGCCUUCCCCUUCGGGGGACAAAGUGACAGGUGGUGCAUGGUUGUCGUCAGCUCGUGUCGUGAGAUGUUGGGUUAAGUCCCGCAACGAGCGCAACCCUUAAGCUUAGUUGCCAUCAUUAAGUUGGGCACUCUAAGUUGACUGCCGGUGACAAACCGUCGAAGGUGGGACAAAUGAUUGGGGUGAAGUCGUAACAAGGUAGCCGUAUCGGAAGGUGCGGCUGGAUCACCUCCUUUCU
rnacentral:rRNA from 1 species